rnacentral:lncRNA from 1 species
GUGUACGUUGCUUGCACCGGUUGCGCGUUUUGUUGAGACGGUGUACCGGUAGUGUUAGUUCAUUUGUCGGUUCAGACAGCAUCAAAAGCGAUGCUAAAACUUACCCAGCCUCGUAUGGAACGAGUCGACCCUGCCGAAGAAAAGCAGCGGGCUCGGUCUGCCACUAUUAGCACAUUAUUCAAGUUCGGUCUUCUAGUUACACUAAUACGAGCAACGCCUUACGUUAUUAACCAGCUCCGGAGCUGAAAGAAGACCCUCGGGAUGGCUGGUCUUGACGGAUGGCUGGUCUUGACGGAUGACAGGAGAAUUCAUACUGGAAGCGCUUCACAAGGUUACCCGGUUUAAUUCGACAGUGAGAGAAAUAAAUGUGAUGUAAACUG